GGGCCUGUAGCUCAGUGGUGAGAGCAGUCGACUCAUAAUCGAUUGGUCGCGGGUUCGAAUCCCGCCGGGCCCACCA
rnacentral:tRNA from 2 species